rnacentral:rRNA from 1 species
UGACCUUUAUGAGCUGGGCUACACACGUGCUACAAUGGGGCGGUACAAAGGGCUGCGAACCCGCGAGGGGGAGCGAAUCCCAAAAAGCCGCUCUCAGUUCGGAUUGCAGGCUGCAACUCGCCUGCAUGAAGCCGGAAUCGCUAGUAAUCGCGGAUCAGCAUGCCGCGGUGAAUACGUUCCCGGGCCUUGUACACACCGCCCGUCACACCACGAGAGCUUGCAACACCCGAAGUCGGUGAGGUAACCCUUAAGGGAGCCAGCCGCCGAAGGUGGGGCAAGUGAUUGGGGUGAAGUCGUAACAAGGUAGCCGUACCGGAAGGUG